GGGGUCGCGUCCUAUCAGCUUGUUGGUGGGGUGAUGGCCUGCCAAGGCUUCGACGGGUAGCCGGCCUGAGAGGGCGACCGGCCACAUUGGGACUGAGAUACGGCCCAGACUCCUACGGGAGGCAGCAGUGGGGAAUAUUGCACAAUGGGCGAAAGCCUGAUGCAGCGACGCCGCGUGCGGGAUGACGGCCUUCGGGUUGUAAACCGCUUUUGAUUGGGAGCAAGCGAGAGUGAGUGUACCUUUCGAAUAAGCACCGGCUAACUACGUGCCAGCAGCCGCGGUAAUACGUAGGGUGCAAGCGUUAUCCGGAAUUAUUGGGCGUAAAGAGCUCGUAGGCGGUUCGUCGCGUCUGGUGUGAAAGUCCAUCGCUUAACGGUGGAUCUGCGCCGGGUACGGGCGGACUGGAGUGCGGUAGGGGAGACUGGAAUUCC
rnacentral:rRNA from 1 species